rnacentral:rRNA from 1 species
CCUACGGGAGGCAGCAGUGGGGAAUAUUGGACAAUGGGCGAAACCCUGAUCCAGCGACGCCGCGUGAGUGAAGAAGUAUUUCGGUACGUAAAGCUCUAUCAGCAGCAAAGAAAAUGACGGUACCUGUCUCAGAAGCCCCGGCUAACUACGUGCCAGCAGCCGCGGUAAUACGUCGGGGGCACGCGUUAUCCGGAUUUACUGGGGUUAGAGGGAGCGUAGACGGCAGCGCAAGGCGGGAGUGAAGUGCCGGGGGCCAACCCCGGAACUGCACGGGAAACUGGGAAGCUGGAGUGCAGGAGAGGUAAGCGGAAUGCCUGGUGUAGCGGUGAAAUGCGUAGAUAUCAGGAGGAACACCGGCGGCGAAGGUGGCAUACUGGACGGUAACUGACGUUGAGGCUCGAAGGCGUGGGGAGCAAACAGGAUUAGAUACCCUAGUAGUC